rnacentral:rRNA from 1 species
AAAGUGAGAUGGACUCUGGUAAAUAUGCCUUCAGGUGGAUGGCUCGGCUCAAGAGCUGAUGAGGGACGUGCCAAGCUGCGAUAAGCCCGGGGUAGGUGCAUGGAGCCUAUGAUCUCGGGAUCUCCUAAUGGGUCUUCCUAACACAUUUUGUGUGUUGAUCAACAAUGAUCGGGAACGCCCCGAAUUGAAGCAUCUUAGUAGGGGCAGGAAAAGAAAUCGAAGAGAUGCCGUUAGUAAUGGCGAAUGAACACGGUAAAGUUCAAACUGAAUCCCACUGGUAACAUGUGGGAGAUGUGGUGUUGUAGGUUUUUUCUAAAGGUCCCACCUGGUUGAAGUUUAACUUUUCUGGAACGUUAGACCAUAGAGUGUGAUAGUCACGUAAGCAACAACCAAAGGAUCUGGAUUAUAACCUGAGUAGCGUGGGUCGGAAUUCCCGCGUGAAUUUGGGAGGCACCAACUUCCAAAACUAAAUACUUCUUGAGACCGAUAGCGAACUAGUAGGGUGACCGAAAACUGAAAAGUACCCCAAGAAGGGAGGUUAAAAGUGCCUGAAACCUGGAGGCGAUGGAGCGAUAUGGCGUUAAAGGAUCUUUAUUGCGAAGGAAACAGUCGCGAGGCUGCAGUACGGGCAAUAUUGCCAAUGUCAUAUCUUACGUUUUGAAGAACGGGCCAGGGAGUGUAUUCAAAUGGCGAUGGCUAACUUGCAAAUAGGAAGCCGAAGCGAAAGCAACAUGCUCGCAACCGUAAGGUGAGGAGCGACGUAUACAAGUGCGUGGAGUCAUUAGGAUACGACCCGAAGCCGGGUGAUCUAGGCGUGGGCAGGUUGAAGCGUGGCGAAAGCUACGUGGAGGACCGCAAGCGGUAUUGAUCUGCAAAUCAUUCGUGUGACCUGCGUCUCGGAGUGAAAGGCUAAUCUAACCCGGCAUCAGCUGGUUCCUUCCGAAACAUGUCGUAGCAUGACCUAACUGGAGAUAGUCGGUGAAGUAGAGCACUGAUUGGUGGUCCCGGGGAAGAAAUUCCUCAGCCGCUUGUCAAACUCCAAACUCACCGUCGUCAAAGAAGGUUGGAGUCCGGACUACUGGGGUAAGCUUGUAGUCCGUAAGGGAGACAACCCAGCCCGUGGUUAAGGUCCCAAAGUGUCGACUAAGUGUUAAUACUAAAGGGCGUCCUAAGCCCUAGACAGCUGGAAGGUUAGCUUAGAAGCAGCUAUCCUUUAAAGAGUGCGUAACAGCCCACCAGUCGAGGUUUGGGGCCCCGAAAAUGGACGGGGCUCA